GAUGAACGCUGGCGGCGUGCCUAAUACAUGCAAGUCGAGCGAACGGACGAGAAGCUUGCUUCUCUGAUGUUAGCGGCGGACGGGUGAGUAACACGUGGAUAACCUACCUAUAAGACUGGGAUAACUUCGGGAAACCGGAGCUAAUACCGGAUAAUAUUUUGAACCGCAUGGUUCAAAAGUGAAAGACGGUCUUGCUGUCACUUAUAGAUGGAUCCGCGCUGCAUUAGCUAGUUGGUAAGGUAACGGCUUACCAAGGCAACGAUGCAUAGCCGACCUGAGAGGGUGAUCGGCCGCACUGGAACUGAGACACGGUCCAGACUCCUACGGGAGGCAGCAGUAGGGAAUCUUCCGCAAUGGGCGAAAGCCUGACGGAGCAACGCCGCGUGAGUGAUGAAGGUCUUCGGAUCGUAAAACUCUGUUAUUAGGGAAGAACAUAUGUGUAAGUAACUGUGCACAUCUCGACGGUACCUAAUCAGAAAGCCACGGCUAACUACGUG
rnacentral:rRNA from 1 species